UUGAUUUUGCUGGGAAACAGGUCUGGAUCUGAAGAGAAGGAUCUUGUCUUAUAGGAAGUUGAAGCAUUUUGCCCCAGGAAAGGAAUAAAAGCAAUCAAUGGUUCUUACAGAGCUUUCUGCUCAAGUAAUUUUGGUCAACUUAAGUGUGUCAGUAAAUUGAACAAAAUGUUACCAUCAUAGAUUAUCAGGCUGAGGCAGGAGAAUUGCUUGAACCCAGGAGGCGGAGGUUGUAGUGAACUGAGAUUGUGCCGCUGCACUCCAGCCUGGGCGACAGAGCAAGACUCCGUCUCAAAAAAAAAAAAAAAAAAAAAUCAGUCCUUUCAGUAGCAAAAGUUGGUCUAUCCCUUACUGUUUUGCUGGUUGAAAAGAGUGAGAAAGAAAGGAUCU
rnacentral:lncRNA from 1 species